rnacentral:rRNA from 1 species
UACAGAGGGUGCGAGCGUUAAUCGGAAUUACUGGGCGUAAAGCGUGCGUAGACGGCUAUCUAAGUCGGGUGUGAAAGCCCCGGGCUCAACCUGGGAAUUGCAUUCGAGACUGAAUAGCUAGGGUACGGUAGAGGGAAGUGGAAUUUCCGGUGUAGCGGUGAAAUGCGUAGAUAUCGGAAGGAACAUCAGUGGCGAAGGCGGAUCUCUGGGCCUUACCUGACGCUCAGGCGCGAAGGCUAGGGGAGCGACC